UACGUAGGCAGCGAGCGUUGUUCGGAGUUACUGGGCGUAAAGCGCGUGUAGGCGGCUAUGUAAGUCGGGCGUGAAAUCCCACGGCUCAACCGUGGAAGUGCACCCGAAACUGCGUAGCUAGAGUCCUGGAGAGGAAGGUGGAAUGCUUGGUGUAGAGGUGAAAUUCGUAGAUAUCAAGCGGAACACCGGUGGCGAAGGCGGCCUUCUGGACAGUGACUGACGCUGAGACGCGAAAGCGUGGGGAGCAAACAGG
rnacentral:rRNA from 1 species